AGUGAACGCUGGCGGUAGGCCUAACACAUGCAAGUCGAACGGCAGCACAGUAAGAGCUUGCUCUUACGGGUGGCGAGUGGCGGACGGGUGAGGAAUACAUCGGAAUCUACUUUUUCGUGGGGGAUAACGUAGGGAAACUUACGCUAAUACCGCAUACGACCUACGGGUGAAAGCAGGGGAUCUUCGGACCUUGCGCGAUUGAAUGAGCCGAUGUCGGAUUAGCUAGUUGGCGGGGUAAAGGCCCACCAAGGCGACGAUCCGUAGCUGGUCUGAGAGGAUGAUCAGCCACACUGGAACUGAGACACGGUCCAGACUCCUACAGGAGGCAGCAGUGGGGAAUAUUGGACAAAGGGCGCAAGCCUGAUCCAGCCAUACCGCGUGGGUGAAGAAGGCCUUCGGGUUGUAAAGCCCUUUUGUUGGGAAAGAAAAGCAGCAGGUUAAUACCCCGCUGUUCUGACGGUACCCAAAGAAUAAGCACCGGCUAACUUCGUG
rnacentral:rRNA from 1 species